UAGCGGAGGGGGGCUAGCGUUGUUUCGGAAGUUACUGGGACGUAAAGCGGCACGGUAGGCGGCUUUGUAAAGUUAGAGGUGAAAAGCCCGGGGGCUCAACUCCGGAAUUGCCUUUAAGACUGCAUCGCUAGAAUUGUGGAGAGGUAAGUGGAAUUCCGAGUGUAGAGGUGAAAUUGUAGAUAUUGGAAGAACACCAGUGGCGAAGGCGACUUACUGGACACAUAUUGACGCUGAGGUGGCGAAA
rnacentral:rRNA from 1 species